GUGCUUGCUUCAGCAGCACAUAUACUAAAAUUGGAGUGAUACAGAGAAGAUUAGCAUGCCCCCUGCAUGAAGGAUGACACCCAAAUUCAUUAAGAAUUCCAUAUUUAG
ensembl:snRNA U6 U6 spliceosomal RNA